AGAGUUUGAUCCUGGCUCAGGAUGAACGCUGGCGGCGCGCCUAACACAUGCAAGUCGAACGGCACCCCUCUCCGGAGGGAAGCGAGUGGCGAACGGCUGAGUAACACGUGGAGAACCUGCCCCCUCCCCCGGGAUAGCCGCCCGAAAGGACGGGUAAUACCGGAUACCCCGGGGUGCCGCAUGGCGCCCCGGCUAAAGCCCCGACGGGAGGGGAUGGCUCCGCGGCCCAUCAGGUAGACGGCGGGGUGACGGCCCACCGUGCCGACAACGGGUAGCCGGGUUGAGAGACCGACCGGCCAGAUUGGGACUGAGACACGGCCCAGACUCCUACGGGAGGCAGCAGUGGGGAAUCUUGCGCAAUGGGGGGAACCCUGACGCAGCGACGCCGCGUGCGGGACGGAGGCCUUCGGGUCGUAAACCGCUUUCAGCAGGGAAGAGUCAAGACUGUACCUGCAGAAGAAGCCCCGGCUAACUACGUGCCAGCAGCCGCGGUAAUACGUAGGGGGCGAGCGUUAUCCGGAUUCAUUGGGCGUAAAGCGCGCGUAGGCGGCCCGGCAGGCCGGGGGUCGAAGCGGGGGGCUCAACCCCCCGAAGCCCCCGGAACCUCCGCGGCUUGGGUCCGGUAGGGAGGGUGGAACACCGGGUGUAGCGGUGGAAUGCGCAGAUAUCGGGUGGAACACCGAUGGCGAAGGCGGCCCUCUGGGCCAAGACCGACGCUGAGGCGCGAAAGCUGGGGGAGCGAACAGGAUUAGAUACCCUGGUAGUCCCAGCCGUAAACGAUGGACGCUAGGUGUGGGGGGACGAUCCCCCCGUGCCGCAGCCAACGCAUUAAGCGUCCCGCCUGGGGAGUACGGCCGCAAGNUAAAACUCAAAGGAAUUGACGGGGGCCCGCACAAGCAGCGGAGCAUGUGGCUUAAUUCGAAGCAACGCGAAGAACCUUACCAGGGCUUGACAUAUGGGUGAAGCGGGGGAGACCCGUGGCCGAGAGGAGCCCAUACAGGUGGUGCAUGGCUGUCGUCAGCUCGUGUCGUGAGAUGUUGGGUUAAGUCCCGCAACGAGCGCAACCCCCGCCGCGUGUUGCCAUCGGGUGAUGCCGGGAACCCACGCGGGACCGCCGCCGUCAAGGGGAGGAGGGCCGGGACGACGUCAAGUCAUCAUGCCCCUUAUGCCCUGGGCUGCACACGUGCUACAAUGGCCGGUACAGAGGGAUGCCACCCCGCGAGGGGAGCGGAUCCCGGAAAGCCGGCCCCAGUUCGGAUUGGGGGCUGCAACCCGCCCCCAUGAAGUCGGAGUUGCUAGUAAACGCGGAUCAGCAUGCCGCGGUGAAUGCGUUCCCGGGCCUUGUACACACCGGCCGUCACACCACCCGAGUCGUCUGCACCCGAAGUCGCCGGCCCAACCGAGAGGGGGGAAGCGCCGAAGGUGUGGAAGGUUAAGGGGGUUAAGUCGUAACAA
rnacentral:rRNA from 1 species